GUGGUCUGUAUGCUCGUUGUUUUGAGGAGUUCUUCGAUUUAGUGAAUUCAGCUGCAACUGCUACAUCUAGAUAUGACUUUUCUGUCACAGUUUUUGAACUCCACAAUGAACAGGUACGAGAUUUGGUGCAUGAAUCAGGAAGGAAUUCAUC